rnacentral:rRNA from 1 species
UACGGAGGGUGCAAGCGUUAUCCGGAUUUACUGGGUUUAAAGGGUGCGUAGGUGGAUUUGUAAGUCAGUGGUGAAAUCUCCGGGCUUAACCCGGAAACUGCCAUUGAUACUAUAAGUCUUGAAUUAUCUGGAGGUAAGCGGAAUAUGUCAUGUAGCGGUGAAAUGCUUAGAUAUGACAUAGAACACCAAUUGCGAAGGCAGCUUACUACGGAUAUAUUGACACUGAGGCACGAAAGCGUGGGGAGCAAACAGG